AGUGAACGCUGGCGGCAGGCCUAAUACAUGCAAGUCGAGCGGCAGCACAGCAGAGCUUGCUCUGUGGGUGGCGAGUGGCGGACGGGUGAGGAAUACAUGGGAAUCUGCCCAGUCGUGGGGGAUAACGUAUGGAAACGUACGCUAAUACCGCAUGCGCCCUUUGGGGGAAAGCCGGGGACCUUCGGGCCUGGCGCGAUUGGAUGAGCCCAUGUUCGAUUAGCUAGUUGGCGGGGUAAAGGCCCACCAAGGCGACGAUCGAUAGCUGGUCUGAGAGGAUGAUCAGCCACACUGGGACUGAGACACGGCCCAGACUCCUACGGGAGGCAGCAGUAGGGAAUAUUGGGCAAUGGGCGCAAGCCUGAUCCAGCCAUGCCGCGUGAGUGAAGAAGGCCCUCGGGUUGUAAAGCUCUUUUGUCCGGAAAGAAAAGCAUUCGGUUAAUACCCGGGUGUUCUGACGGUACCGGAAGAAUAAGCACCGGCUAACUUCGUG
rnacentral:rRNA from 1 species